rnacentral:rRNA from 1 species
AGAGUUUGAUCAUGGCUCAGGACGAACGCUGGCGGCGUGCUUAACACAUGCAAGUCGAGCGAGAGCCGGCUGAGGGGUAACUUUCGGCCGGGGACAGCGGCGAACGGGUGCGUAACACGUGGGCAACCUGCCCCUGACUCUGGGAUAACCCCGGGAAACCGGAGCUAAUACCGGAUACUCUCUGCCCACCACAUGGUGGGCAGAGGAAAGAUCUGUCGGUCAGGGAUGGGCCCGCGGCCUAUCAGCUUGUUGGUGGGGUAACGGCCUACCAAGGCGACGACGGGUAGCUGGUCUGAGAGGACGACCAGCCACACUGGAACUGAGAUACGGUCCAGACUCCUACGGGAGGCAGCAGUGGGGAAUAUUGCACAAUGGGCGAAAGCCUGAUGCAGCGACGCCGCGUGAGGGAUGACGGCCCUCGGGUUGUAAACCUCUUUCGGCAGGGACGAAGCGAAAGUGACGGUACCUGCAGAAGAAGUCCCGGCUAACUACGUGCCAGCAGCCGCGGUAAGACGUAGGGGACGAGCGUUGUCCGGAUUCAUUGGGCGUAAAGAGCGCGUAGGCGGCUACGCAAGUCGGUUGUGAAAACCCGGGGCUCAACCCCGGGCCUGCAUCCGAUACUGCGUGGCUAGAGGUAGGUAGGGGAGAUCGGAAUUCCUGGUGUAGCGGUGAAAUGCGCAGAUAUCAGGAGGAACACCGGUGGCGAAGGCGGAUCUCUGGGCCUUACCUGACGCUGAGGCGCGAAAGCUAGGGGAGCGAACAGGAUUAGAUACCCUGGUAGUCCU